rnacentral:precursor_RNA from 10 species
UCUUUACCAGUAUUGGGUGUUUAGGCUCUUUAUGGCUUUCUUUUCCUGUGUGACGUCAUAUCUCUCACAGUAAAGUAAGCCAUUAUCAGCUGGACCCACAGUCAGCGGUAAGAUCU